GAUGAACGCUGACAGAAUGCUUAACACAUGCAAGUCGACUGGAAUUCACCUUCGGGUGAUAGUACGGUGGCGGACGGGUGAGUAACGCGUAAAGAACUUGCCCUCUAGACUGGGACAACUGUUGGAAACGACAGCUAAUACCGGAUAUUAUGGAACUGCGGCAUCGCAGAACUAUGAAAGGCUAUAUGCGCUAGAGGAGAGCUUUGCGUCCCAUUAGUUAGUUGGUAGGGUAAUGGCCUACCAAGACGAUGAUGGGUAGCCGGCCUGAGAGGGUGAUCGGCCACAAGGGGACUGAGACACGGCCCUUACUCCUACGGGAGGCAGCAGUGGGGAAU
rnacentral:rRNA from 1 species